rnacentral:lncRNA from 1 species
CCCGAAUACACACUCACAGACAGUAUUGACAACGUUUACACUUUUGAAGCAAAUAAAGUUCCAGUGAAGCAUAUCAGAAAAAAAAAAAAAUCAGCGGUCCAACGACGAAUACUCUGAAGGCUCUCAAAGCGGACGCUAAUUUCAGUGUCUGAACAAGUGCAGCCACGGGUUCUAAAACAGGCAAGCUUAAAGCGGAAGGGGCACCCAGCACCAGCCUCAAGAGCAGGCCGACUUUUAACAUCUUUCCUGAAACACAACUUUACAAAAGAAGAAACGAUACAGUUCAUUACAUUUGUUUUUACCUGCAAGAGCUUGACCUUGGAGACUAGAAAAGAACUUUAAAAAUCAGGUCAAGAAAGUGACAAAGUAAACUUGUUAACUCUCAAGGAUGCAAAGGAGGGCUCUAAAGGCUCUCUGCUCUCUGACACGCUCAGAUGAUGUCAUUUUCAUCAAGUUUUGCGGGGGUCAUAGAGGACAUUGGGAGGACUUGAAGAAGACUCAGACCAGAACCAAAGGUGUAAGGAAACUAAACCCUGCAAAACCUGAUUUCUCAUACUGGCAUAGACUUGACUUGAAGAGAUCAUCAAGUGUAUAGUGAAGAUUGGCUCAGGCAAGAAUCAUCCAUGAAUGCUUACUCUAGGGGGCUGUUACUGGCUGGCAGAUAUUUGUCUGGGUUGAUGUGUCUCCCCAUAGAUGGUUUAGACCUGUUAGUAGCAAAAGCGGAAAUAGUAACUAUACAAAGAGGCAGGCAGACAGCAUCUUAACCAGGUGAUCAAAAUUUACAUCACCAAUGAGAGCAGAUGGAUAUCAUGUCCACAUCAGCUAUGCAGUAUUCCUGGGGACAAUGCAUAACCUGAAUCAUGAUAGUGAAACAUCGGACAAACCCAAAAUGAGGAACAUCUAUUAAAAAGAGGAAGGGUCUGUAUUAUUCAAAAAUGUCAAGGUCAUUAAAAUCAAAAGAAAGCUUGGGAAAUGUUCCAGAUUAAAGGGUGCAAAAGAGUCAGGGCAGCUAAAUGCCAUGCCUGAUCCUAGACUGCAUCCUGUGCUAGAGGAGGGGAAAUACAUCACGGACAUUCCAGCUGACAAAAUCAGAAUCCAUGUAAGAGAUUAAAGUAUUGGAUCAAUGUUAAAUGUACUGAUGUUGAUAACUUCCACUGUAAUUAUGUACAAGAAUAUCUAAUUCUUGGGAAAUACACACUAAAGUAUCUUGAAAGGGUAAAGGUCAUAAUGUAUGCAGCUUACCUUCAAAUGAUUCAGGGGAAAAAAAAUCUUGAUAGGAAAAAAUGAUAAAGCCAAGUGGGCAAUAAAGGUAAGGUGCAUAUUAUCAGUGAAUCAGCAUAUAGAGUGUACUUGAACAUUUCUGUAAGUUUGAACUUAUUUCCAAAUAAAAAGAUUUGGAAAAAUCCAUCAAGUUGGG